rnacentral:rRNA from 1 species
AGCAGCCGCGGUAAUUCCAGCUCCAAUAGCGUAUAUUAAAGUUGUUGCAGUUAAAAAGCUCGUAGUUGAAUUUCGGGAUUGACACAUCGGUCGUGCCUUAAGGGGUAUGAACUGGUGUAGUCAAUUUCUCACCUUCUGGAGAACCGCGAUGCCCUUAAUUGGGUGUCGCGGGGAACCAGGACCUUUACUUUGAAAAAAUUAGAGUGUUUAAAGCAGGCAUUUUUGCUUGAAUACAUUAGCAUGGAAUAAUAAAAUAGGACGGCAUGGUUCUAUUUUGUUGGUUUCUAGGACCACCGUAAUGAUUAAUAGGGAUAGUUGGGGGCAUUAGUAUUCAAUUGUCAGAGGUGAAAUUCUUGGAUUUAUUGAAGACUAACUACUGCGAAAGCAUUUGCCAAGGAUGUUUUCAUUAAUCAAGAACGAAAGUUAGGGGAUCGAAGACGAUCAGAUACCGUCGUAGUCUUAACCAUAAACUAUGCCGACUAGGAAUCAGACGAUGUUAAUUUUUAAUGACUCGUUUGGCACCUUACGG